ACAGUAACAGACAUGUGGACUGUAGAAUAUACAGUAACAGACAUGUGGACUGUAGAAUAUACAGAAACAGUCAUGUGGACUGUAGAAUAUACAGUAACAGACAUGUGGACUGUAGAAUAUCCACUUUUUUAAACUUCUUAGGGCUAGGCCCCUUUUUUCUCCACUUCCUGUCUGAAUGACAUUCCCAAAGUAAACUGCCUGUAGCUCAGGCCCAGAAGCCAGGAUAUGCAUAUAAUUGGUACCAUUAGAAAGUAAACACUUUGACAUUUGUAGAAAUAUUAAAAUAAGGUAGGAGAAUAUAACAUAUGGUAGGAGAAAAUCCAAAUCCUUUGAGAGACCUCUUAGAAUUGCAAUAGAAAGGUCAUAUUGAAAAUGAGCUCCCUGGAUGCAAUGUCUAUGGCUUCCACGGGGUGUCAGCAGUCUGUGUUCAAGGUUUCAGGCUCGUAACUUCAAAAACGAAGAAGAAAUAUCAGUUUUAGUAGAAGGACACAGUCUUGGAAAUUCAUGUUUGCUCGCGCCGUGAAGACGUUACGCACCUGUUAAAAUCGGUUUCCUAUUGAACAUACUUCUUUCCGUAAUAAAUAUUAUAAUUUGAUGACAUUUUAGUGUAUCUGAGGAGUAAAUAGAAAUGUAUUUUGACUUGUUGAAACAAAGUUUAGGGGUUAGAUUUUCAGAUUCCUUUCUCUGCAAGUUAAACGAGUGGAUGACUCAUCGAUGGCGCCAACUAAACAGACUUUUUGGGAUUUAAAGAUGGAUUUUAUCAAACAAAACGGCACUACAUGUUAUAGCUGGGACCCUUUGGAUGACAAAUCAGAGGAAGAUUUUCAAAAAGUAAGUUAAUAUUUUAUCGUUGUAUGUGAAUGUAUUAAACCUGUGCCGGUGGAAAAAUAUUUUGAUGUGGGGCGCCAUCCUCAAACAAUCGCAUGGUAUGUUUUCACUGUAAUAGCUACUGUAAAUCAGACAGUGCAGUUAGAUUAACAAGAAUUUAAGCUUUCAGCCGAUGUAAGACACUUGUAUGUACAUAAAUGUUUAAAAUCCAUAAUAUUUCUUUGAAUUGCACGCUCUCCAGUUUCACCCGAAGUUGUCCUGCUAGUGGGACACCAAUCCUUAUUAACUAAACUCAGACAUGUUGAAUAUUACUGACUAAGCAGGAAGCUUGGAAUGGCUGUGAACGAAGAGGUUGUGAGUUCAAAUCCCAGUUGAGGACAUGUUGAAUAUUAAUGACUAAGCAGGAAGAUUGGAAUGGCUGUGAACCAAGAGGUUGUGAGUUCAUAUCCCAGUUGAGGACAUGUUGAAUAUUAAUGACUAAGCAGGAAGAUUGGAAUGGCUGUGAACCAAGAGCUUGUGAGUUCAAAUCCCAGUUGAGGACAUGUUGAAUAUUAAUGACUAAGCAGGAAGAUUGGAAUGGCUGUGAACCAAGAGGUUGUGAGUUCAAAUCCCAGUUGAGGACAUGUUGAAUAUUAAUGACUGUAUGCAGAAACAUACACAAUGUAGCCAUGUGGCAAAAUGCAUCACGUGUUUAAGUUGAAAACACUGUGUGUUCAUCAUUACAACUCACCUUUGUUUUUGCAGGGCUUGUGAAUCUCUCCUAGAAAAAAAUGUAAUCCACAUGUGAAAGGUUUUUGUGAAAAUCCACAUGAAACUAAUAUCAUCCUGUGAAGUAUUUCCCAAAAACGUGUGAUUUUCCUGUAAGGAUGUUCGUUGAAGCUGCUACACUCUACAGAAACAGGAGCUCCUGCCCUGUGAGCCGUUCUUCCUCGGACAAGGCUACUUAUGUACAGUCGCAGGUAAAGUGAGACGUAAUACACACAUGGCACCGACCCAGAGUCGGCUAAGAAACAGCUGAAAAUGUACAGCACACAGACAGGUCAUUCCAGGUAAGAGUCAGUAAAGGAACUGAGAACCAGGGAAGUAUCCCAAAUAGCACCCUGUUCCCUAUAAGGUGCACUACUCUGGGCCCUGGUCAAAAGUAAUGCCCUACUUAGGAAACCGGGUGCCAUUUGGUACGCAGAUUAGGGAGAAAGUUCACUAGUUCCUGCAGUGAAAUGAACAAAUCGCCCUCUAGUGGCGUCAUGGGUGAAAUGUUAUCAAUAUUUUUCAUAAUUGCAUAAUUAAUAAACAUUUUAAACAUUUAAAAAAAUUACACCGAUGAAUCCGAUGUUUCUAUGUCAAACGGUUUUGUUAUAGUUCAGUCUUCUGUGAUGUACCUAAAGUGUAAUACUGGAAUGCAAACUCAACAUUGAAUACAUUUUCA
ensembl:lncRNA